GAUGAACGCUGGCGGCGUGCCUAAUACAUGCAAGUAGAACGCUGAAGGAGGAGCUUGCUCUUCUGGAUGAGUUGCGAACGGGUGAGUAACGCGUAGGUAACCUGCCUGGUAGCGGGGGAUAACUAUUGGAAACGAUAGCUAAUACCGCAUGACAACAGUUAUUGCAUGAUAACUGUUUAAAAGGGGCAACUGCUCCACUACCAGAUGGACCUGCGUUGUAUUAGCUAGUUGGUGAGGUAACGGCUCACCAAGGCGACGAUACAUAGCCGACCUGAGAGGGUGAUCGGCCACACUGGGACUGAGACACGGCCCAGACUCCUACGGGAGGCAGCAGUAGGGAAUCUUCGGCAAUGGACGGAAGUCUGACCGAGCAACGCCGCGUGAGUAAAGAAGGUUUUCGGAUCGUAAAGCUCUGUUGUAAGAGAAGAACGAGUGUGAGAGUGGAAAGUUCACACUGUGACGGUAUCUUACCAGAAAGGGACGGCUAACUACGUG
rnacentral:rRNA from 1 species